rnacentral:rRNA from 1 species
UACGAAGGGUGCAAGCGUUACUCGGAAUUACUGGGCGUAAAGCGUGCGUAGGUGGUUCGUUAAGUCUGAUGUGAAAGCCCUGGGCUCAACCUGGGAAUGGCAUUGGAAACUGGCGACCUAGAGUGCGGUAGAGGGUAGUGGAAUUCCCGGUGUAGCAGUGAAAUGCGUAGAGAUCGGGAGGAACAUCUGUGGCGAAGGCGACUGCCUGGACCAGCACUGACACUGAGGCACGAAAGCGUGGGGAGCAAACAGGA